GAUGAACGCUGGCGGCGUGCCUAAUACAUGCAAGUCGAGCGAACAGACGAGGAGCUUGCUCCUCUGACGUUAGCGGCGGACGGGUGAGUAACACGUGGAUAACCUACCUAUAAGACUGGGAUAAAUUCGGGAAACCGGAGCUAAUACCGGAUAAUAUAUUGAACCGCAUGGUUCAAUAGUGAAAGACGGUUUUGCUGUCACUUAUAGAUGGAUCCGCGCCGCAUUAGCUAGUUGGUAAGGUAACGGCUUACCAAGGCGACGAUGCGUAGCCGACCUGCGAGGGUGAUCGGCCACACUGGAACUGAGACACGGUCCAGACUCCUACGGGAGGCAGCAGUAGGGAAUCUUCCGCAAUGGGCGAAAGCCUGACGGAGCAACGCCGCGUGAGUGAUGAAGGUCUUCGGAUCGUAAAACUCUGUUAUUAGGGAAGAACAAAUGUGUAAGUAACUAUGCACGUCUUGACGGUACCUAAUCAGAAAGCCACGGCUAACUACGUG
rnacentral:rRNA from 1 species